UUCCUUCCUCUCCCUCUUCCUCCCCCGCUCGCUCUCUCUUUUCCUCUUUCCUUCUACUUCUCCCCCUCCGGCGACGAGUUUCAUUUUCAUUGCCGAAACUGUCCAGUCUGCCGUCGGGACGACUCGGUAGGACUAGAAGUCUAGAACCGCCCGAUUCCAGACAGUUCUGCCAACCCAGAGCCAGAUACUAGAUGGUGCCAUGGAAGGAUGGGCUUGGAGAGACAUCACUAGUUAUACAAUUGUUAUGACAUGGACAAUAAAGAAGCUGAGGUCACCUGGUUGAAACAUCUGGCAGGUGGCUAUAGUAUAUGCAGAAGUGUACCGAGGUACCUAGAGAAGUCAGACAUGUAAUGAGGGACCAUUUGCAGAGUCCAAAGGCAGUGGAGUAGGUAGCUAGAUACGAGAAGGCUCAACAGGAUUGCAAGGCAGCCGAGGUCAAUGUUCAGCCUAGUAGGGACGACAAAUGCAGUGAGUCUGAGCUAUCUGAUCUAGAUGAUAUGGAGGCUAUUACGAUACAUGAGACAAUCUAGGCCUCUUCGCAGGCAAUCUAGACAGUUCGGGUCUCCACAUAAUUGAAGGGAUAGUGUUGCAUCUAGGGGAGGGCAUGCAGCCAAGGAUAGCUCCGAGCCACAUAAGACCUAGUCAACUAGAGGUGAUGAUGGAGGCAUUAUAUCCCUAUUCAGUGCAUUUCAAAGAGGGAAAGAACACCAGAUCAGGUCCCACCAUUUCUAACAUCAAUAUGACAACUUACUCAGACCCACCAGCUAAGUAACCCUGGAUAGAUGACUGUAUCAAGAAGGACUAAGAGCAUGUGAUGGUGACUGCCAUAGCUAAGUAGUUCCACUAUGGUUAAAUACUAGCUUGGGCUGCAGCUAAUAGCUUCUUCCAAAACAUGAUUCUGAAAAACAGAAGCAGGGUCA
rnacentral:lncRNA from 1 species